CGGGCUGUCGUAUAGUGGUAGUAUACAGGAUUCGGGUUCCUGCGGCGGGAGUUCGAUUCUCCCCAGCCCGA
rnacentral:tRNA from 1 species